GACGGUGGCAAUAGCGGUAGGGUAACGCCCGGUCCCAUUCCGAACCCGGAAGCUAAGCCUACCAGCGCCGAUGGUACUGCACUUGAGAGGGUGUGGGAGAGUAGGACACCGCCGUCA
rfam:Trueperella bernardiae strain LCDC 89-0504 AQZ59_contig000018, whole genome shotgun sequence.